CCCGCCACUGCACCUGACCAGUAUUGUUGGCUGGUGCAAUCCAGUGGUGAGCUGAGAGUAAGCCCCAGCUUUUAGGAAACAGGGCUGUCCUACAUGUGGAUGGCUCUGUGCCGAAAGCAUGGGAACAGCC
ensembl:snoRNA small nucleolar RNA SNORA65